GACGAACGCUGGCGGCGUGCUUAACACAUGCAAGUCGAACGGAAAGGCCCUGCUUUUGUGGGGUGCUCGAGUGGCGAACGGGUGAGUAACACGUGAGUAACCUGCCCUUGACUUUGGGAUAACUUCAGGAAACUGGGGCUAAUACCGGAUAGGAGCUCCUGCUGCAUGGUGGGGGUUGGAAAGUUUCGGCGGUUGGGGAUGGACUCGCGGCUUAUCAGCUUGUUGGUGGGGUAGUGGCUUACCAAGGCUUUGACGGGUAGCCGGCCUGAGAGGGGGACCGGCCACAUUGGGACUAAGAUACGGCCCAGACUCCAACGGGAGGCAGCGGUGGGGAAUAUUGCACAAUGGGCGGAAGCCUGAUGCAGCAACGCCGCGUGCGGGAUGACGGCCUUCGGGUUGUAAACCGCUUUCGCCUGUGACGAAGCGUGAGUGACGGUAAUGGGUAAAGAAGCACCGGCUAACUACGUG
rnacentral:rRNA from 1 species